rnacentral:misc_RNA from 1 species
GAUGAAGAACGUAGCGAAAUGCGAUAAUUAAUGUGAAUUGCAGAAUUCCGUGAAUCAUCGAGUCUUUGAACGCACAUUGCGCCUCAUGACAUUCCGUGAGGCAUGCCCAUCUCAGCGUUAGAAAAUAUUCUCAAAUUUUAGUUUUGUGCUAAAAUUUGGAUCAUGUCAAAGAAGCUAUUACUAUUAUUGUGAUCGCUCUUUGGAAAUUGAUAGGUCUUUGAGUUGCUACUCAUAGAACGUGAUGAAUCUUUCUUCGUUCUAUUGUAAUUCACUCUGGUAGUCCUAAAACUUGUAUGCCUGUGGCAUAUCUUGUAAUUUGACCUGAGAUUGGGUAGGGAUACCCGCUGAACUUAAGCAUAUCAAUAAGCGGAGGA